rnacentral:lncRNA from 1 species
GCACUAAAUUUUCAGCACUAAUUAACAUUAAAAAAAAAAGAAGAUCAAAACGAAUAAAAUAGUUAUUAUUGCAUAUUUUUCAGACAGCAGUCAACAGUACACAGAGUUACAAGGCAACGUGUUUAAAUGCAAUCUCUGUGACAAAGUGUUCCAGAAAAACAGAUUGAUGCAACAUAUUUCAACAGCACAUCCACCUUUAUACUAUGGACCAAUCAGAUGUGAAUACUGUUACUUUUCUUGUACAACAAAUGACGAACUAAAACGCCACCAGAAGGAAAUGCACAAAUAUGUCUGCGAAAUAUGUAAACAGACAUACACUUCCAGAUCUGGAAUAUACACUCACAAUAAGGUUCAUCAUGGUGCUGCUGACAAACUUUGUAAAUGUCAGAUUUGUGGGAAACCUUAUGGGAGCAUCAGUCGACUCAGAAUUCACGAACAGUGUCAUACAUCUCGCAAAACAUUUAAAUGUACCUUGUGUAAAAAAAGUUAUAAAUAUAAAUACAACUUAGAUCAUCAUAAAUGUCCACAAG